rnacentral:rRNA from 1 species
CUUCGGAAUCUGCCCAAUGGUGGGGAAUAACCAGCCGAAAGGUUGGCUAAUACCGCAUACGUCCUCUUUCCUUAUUGGGGAGUGGAGAAAGCAGGGGAUCGUAAGACCUUGCGCCAAUGGAUGAGCCGAAGUCGGAUUAGCUAGUUGGUAGGGUAACGGCCUACCAAGGCGACAAUCCGUAGCUGGUCUGAGAGGACGACCAGCCACACUGGGACUGAGACACGGCCCAG